AAUCUAAAAAAAGCACAAGACUUUUACAUCAAAAGUACUGAAAAGGAAAGAACAAACACUAUAAAUUCCCUAAUCUAGAAUAUAUUAUAAACAAUCAAUAUUAUUCCUUUUGCAUCAGGAGCUUAUAAGAAAAAUUAUAAAUAAAUUUAUACAAAUAAAUAAAAAUAAAAUAAAAAAUAAAAAAUUUAUAAAACCCGAAACCUUGUGAUCUAAUCAUAAAUAGAAAAAAGAACAAAUUAUUAAAUGUUGCAAUAUUUUUAAAUAAUUUAUGACUAGAAACAAAAAGUUAACCGCACAAGGAAAUAACUGGUUUUCGAAGAAAUAUAUUUAAGUAUAAAAAAUCAGAAAGUACAACCACCAUAAAAAAAGUUCUGAUACUUCUAUAAAGACAAACUAAUUGUGAAAAGAUAAUUAGUUAAAAUGAAAACAGCCAUAACCUAAAUUCAAAAUAUAAAAAUAUUUUCUUAAAUAAUAAAAGUAGACCUAAAAACAGUCACCUUCUAACAAAAACGUAACAGUUUAUUAAAAAAAUUAUGACAAUAAAAAAUAAAUAAAACAAUCAUUAUAGAUUAGGUUCAUAAAAAAAGAUAUUCGAAUAAAAAUAAUAAUUUAAGCACUAAUAAAUCCACACACACCCCAAGAAAAAUAAUCGGACUUUAAAAACAAAAAAGAAAUUUAACACAUAAAAAAAUAAUAUAAAAACCGUUCUUUAAUCCAACUCCGGUAGGACAACCCAUAAUAAAAAAAAUCUUAAGGAACUCGGCAAAAAAAGAACUCGACUGUUUACCAAAAACAUAGCUAAUAGAAAAAAUUAUUAUUAGUGAUGCCUGCUCAAUGAUUAAACAAUAACCACUAAAAAUAAUUAAAUAGCUGCGGUAACACCUGACCGUACAAAGGUAGCACAAUAAAUCGCCUACUAAUUAUAGGAUAGAAUGAAGGUAAAACGAAGAUCUUACUGUCUCAAGACCAUAAAAUUUAAAAUAGAAUGUGUGUGUAAAUCCAUACUAAGACGGCAAGACGAUAAGACCCUAAGAACUUUACCUAAAGUUUAAAUAAAAACACCAUUCCUAAAUUCUAAGUUUCGUUGGGGCAACGAUCUUUAAAAAAGUAACUAAGAUUAACCAAUCAAUAAAAAAAAAACAUGAAAAUAAUAUAAAGAUAAGACCCAUUAAAAAAAAAAUUAAUGAUAAUAUAAUAAAAGUUCCUUAGGGAUAACAGCGUCAUAUCGUUUCAAGAGAACCAUCCAAACGAUGUUUGCGACCUCGAUGUUGAAUUGCUAUAUCCCAAAAUGAAACCACAUUUAAAGGUUGGACUGUCCUUCCAUUAAAAUAGCCCAUGAUUUGAGUUCAGACCGAGGCAACUCAGGUCAGAUUCUAUCUACCGUCAAAAAACAGAGAUUUGAUAUAAGUACGAAAGGAAAAUAUCUACCGCCCCAUAGUAAUUCCACGAAAAAGAUAAUAAAGUUUAUAAAACUUAAUCCUCUAAACAUAACA
rnacentral:rRNA from 1 species